rnacentral:rRNA from 1 species
CCUACGAGAGGCAGCAGUGGGGAAUAUUGGGCAAUGGGCGCAAGCCUGACCCAGCAACGCCGCGUGAAGGAAGAAGGCUUUCGGGUUGUAAACUUCUUUUCUCAGGGACGAAGCAAGUGACGGUACCUGAGGAAUAAGCCACGGCUAACUACGUGCCAGCAGCCGCGGUAAUCCGUAGGGGGCAAUCGUUAUCCGGAUUUACUCGUUGUAAAGGGCGUGUAGGCGGGGACGCAAGUCAGAUGUGAAAACCACGGGCUCAACCUGUGGCCUGCAUUUGAAACUGUGUUUCUUGAGUACUGGAGAGGUAGACGGAAUGCGUAGUGUAGCGGUGAAAUGCGUAGAUAUUAGGAGGAACACCAGUGGCGAAGGCGGUCUGCUGGACAGCAACUGACGCUGAGGCGCGAAAGCGUGGGGAGCAAACAGGAUUAGAUACCCCAGUAGUC